CAAGAUAGGUCCUGUCUGCCAACAGAGUUCUUAAAAAUCCUCUGAUGAGUCAAAAUUCCAAGGUUCUUUCCCAUGUUGGCGGUCAGAGUGAUAAGGCCUCUCCCACUAAAAUGUUUCUAUAAUACUCUCAAUGGUCAGUUGAUUCCCUGUAUCCAAAUCUUAUCCCAAUAAGUCACUUUAGUUCCCACUGAUUCCUGAGCAAAGCCAUUAACUAAACAACGAAGAGAACAGAAUUUGUAUGAAUGCCAAUUGAUUCAAAUACUAAUUGGUAAUAUCUGUGUGCAGUAGUUUCCUUCAAUAUAUGUUAUAUUAUACUUAACUGGUCUCCUGUCCAGGAUAUCGGUAUUAUGCAUUUGUACAACAUUUGUUACACUUUGUUUAAUUAUCUUUUAUAGAUUACCAAUAGAGCAUUUAAAAGAAAUGAAUGAAAAGUGUGUGCAGAGUGCUGCUCUAUAACUGAAUGGGUCACUUGGAAUUCAUUUUGUCUACAUCCUGGACUGCACGUAGGGAGACAAAAAAAAAACCGCCUGGGAUUGGAGAGGAGGAAUGUGGCAGGGCAUGGGAAUCGCAGUGUCCUGGUGGUCACCGAGCAUAUUUUGGCUUGUCUUAAAACAAGCAAGCACCGUUGGACCUUUGGAAUCCUAACAAGUGAAGAAAUAUUAUUUCCUUCCUGACUCGCUGAAAAUUCAAGUAGAGAAGACCGUGAAGAAUCUGGGCAAUAUUUCUCAUAUUUAGUUCUGUAAGAUUUUAUUUAGUUGUGCUCUGACCCUGGGUACUCUUGAGAGCUAAGAGAUAUAGAAAAUGUCUUUUGGAGUUUGAGAACUGGGGUUCAAAAUCCUAAUCCUGUCUCCUUUUAUCCAUAGGAUUUGGGCAAGUUACUUAAGGUCUAUCAUCAUUUUCUUAUCUGUAAAAUGGACUUAAUAAUAGUAUCUACCUGAAAGCAUUAUUGGAAGGAGUAAAUGAAUACUUCAUUUAUAGAACAAUGUCUGUCACAAGAUAAGAAAUUUCAUUCUUAUUAUAGCCCCAUCAGUUGAUAUGUAUUACAGCAUCUAGGACUCUGAUAUGUAAAUUUUACGUAGACACUUUUAUUCCUUUGUAUGUUUUUAAGAGUAAUGCCUUGAGACACUUUUCAUCUCUGUAUUCUUAAUGUAACAUCACGGCGUUUCACUCAAAGUUACUCCAUAAACAUUUGUUAAAUGGAUGGCUGGCUGGAUGGACGGACAGAUGGAAGUAGAAAUAUACAGCAUCAGGGUUGGUCCUAAGCAAUCAUUUUCAAAUCAGGACGUGUAUAUCUGGGGGUAUCUCCUUUCUCUCAUCCCCUUCAACUGUUUAGAUAUUGUUGCCUUUCUAAGUUUGGACAUGCUCCAAGCCUUGUUUUUCCUCCUCUUUCUUAUCACAUUUUUCUUCUCUUCAGUUCUUCUAAGUGACUAUCUAGUUUGAUCAGUAAGUAAAAGGGGCUUUAUGUGUCAUGUCUUCAAGAUAGCUUGUAUAUUUUAUCAGAUAAUUUUUUUUUCUCACUGCUUCAUUCCACAGAAGUGACUAAUAUGGGGAUUUCAAGAGAGCUAUUACAAAAAAAAAAUUUUUUUUUGUAGGAGGCUUUUGGACUUAAAAAAAAAAAAAAAACAAAACCUAUAAAACAUCUGCCUCCUUUACCUGGGGCUAAAGCUGACCCUGAGCAAUACUUUGUUCCAAUAAUAUGAACAGCUACAUAAACUCAUUUUGCAUGAAAAGGUAGGGGGUAAAUAUCGAAAGAAAGAGGCCAUCAGGAAGCCCCUGUGGCAUAUGCUGAGUUACAGUCCAGCAAUAAGAUUAACACAUGCACUUCAGCCUCUCUCCCCAUCCCCAAGGGAAGAGAAGCCUGAGUGUCAACAUGAAAUAUUCAAGUCUCAUAUUUUCCAGGUGUACAAGCCAAAUCUCGCAAUGAUGUUGGCGACUUCUUAGAGUUGCAAAAUAAUGGAGAAAUUUUCAAGUGAAUGAUUCUCUGGAUCUCUUAAGAAUAUUCUUUCUUUCUACAUGUUCUUUCAAACUUGGUAUUUCAACUGUGGUGGAAGGUCAAAGUGGAAUUCAGACAAGUGUCACAUAUUUUGCUGAGGCAACAGGUACGUAAUGAAGGCUUUUUAAAACUGCACAUACAAUGGAUGAAACAAGAAUUGAAUAAAAACUCUGAAGUUUAAUAUUCACUCUGUUGAGGCAUUUUCAGGC